CUAGGCUGUUGGGCUUAAAAUAAAACCGAACCAUGGGAUCCAGCCUUCCUUAUCAGUGACCCGGUGCACAGACUUGUGCACAUUGAAAGGAAAUUAAUUAGAAGGUGGACGGCGGGGUGGAACUGGGCAAGAGGGGCCAGACACACCCUGAAACCAACUUCCCCGGUCUCAACCCAGUGUCUUCUGAGUGAGCAGGGUCUCUCCAGCAGGGUAUGGAACGCAAACCCAAGAGUUCAGUAAACCGGAAUUAGGGCGACAGUGCCCCAGCAACAACAUAACCCACGGCCGAAGGUGGAAUUGUGCAGCUGGCGAAGAAUCAGGUUCCCUCCUCUCUGUUUUCGAGGGCUCGGGAAUGGAUAACAGGACUUCUGAGUCAUCACUGGAAUAAACUCAUUAAAGCCUCUUCAUAACGCCAUAUCUGUAACUGAAGGUGGGCGAGAAUGGCAAAGGAAGAAAACAGGGCUCCAAGGAAGUAGAGGAUGGCGCCCAUAACCUCCUUGGAUAUGAGGACAUCUUUUGGGAGUGCCUCCAGCGUCACCUCAUGUCCUUUGUCUAGAGCCCCUUCAAGCUGUGAAGGAAGGGACCUGGCAUCCUAGGAGAAUGUCCAACCUGCUUUGGAGAGAUUGGCUUCCUGGCAGUGGCGCCAAUCCCCACGACCUGGGACUCAG